UACGAAGGGGGCUAGCGUUGCUCGGAAUCACUGGGCGUAAAGGGUGCGUAGGCGGGUUUUAAGUCAGGGGUGAAAUCCUGGAGCUCAACUCCAGAACUGCCUUUGAUACUGAAGAUCUCGAGUCCGGGAGAGGUGAGUGGAACUGCGAGUGUAGAGGUGAAAUUCGUAGAUAUUCGCAAGAACACCAGUGGCGAAGGCGGCUCACUGGCCCGGUACUGACGCUGAGGCACGAAAGCGUGGGGAGCAAAGCAGGG
rnacentral:rRNA from 1 species